GUUCAGGAAAUCAUCAAACAAAUGAGAAUGCUUACUCCACACAUUUAUGUGUCCACAGCUGCCCUUUAAUGAUGUUGUAUCUGUUACCACUGUGGUUUCAAGUAACAUUUUUCUCCUUUCACUUUGGAUGAUGUCCUCCAACAAAUAUUUGCAUGUAAACAGUAAAAAGAAAAAUAUAUUUUUCUGAUCUAAUUGUAUGAUACUUUUGUUUUCUCCUCCUCAAGUUUAAAGAUGCUCAAUGACUGUAGGAAGAAGAUACUGGAUUUUCAAAAUAACAUUUGAUGAAAGCAAUUGCCAUGCAGUGAUGAGAACAGGUUUGGGAGGCUCAAGACCUGGUGUGACAUCCUGACUCCAAUUGGUUCAUAUGAGGAGACAAGGAGAAGAUGUCCAUCUGGAAACCUUCAGGAAGUGGAUCUUCACCAGACACCAGAUCUGCUGGUACUUUGUUCUGGACUUCUCAGUCUCCAGAACUGUGAGAAAUAAGUGUCUGUUGUUUAAGCCAUUCAAUCAAUAGCAUUUUGUCAUAUCAUCCUAAACUGUCUCGUGGUGUUUGUAUUGUUUCAACCUAAAGCCCUGAAUGAUGUGAAUGGUUAACCAUUUAUAAACUACUGAAGUUGACUCAGCACAUUAUCUUGUACAUGGUGGACCACUCAUACCAGAGGUUAGUAGGUUUUUCCAGUUAAACCUUCUAAUCAUGCAGUAAACAUUGUCUGCGCACCAAUAAGUGCCAGGUACUCUUCUCGGUGCUGGGGAUGCAAAAUGACACAAACCUCAGUCUUGCCCAGGAGCUCAUCAUCUCCUAAAAAUAAACAAACAAAAAAGCAAAUCUAUACAUUUGUGUGUUAGUACUAAAACAGAGGUAUGGUCCAGGAUUUAUGUAAACUGAUGACCUUAGUUCUUUGUUGGUUACACACAUUGAAAAUAUAUUCUUACAGUUUAUGGUCUUUUGUUUCACUUUUUAAGGUGUCUUUUAUGUAGAGUUCAUUAUGUUGUAUGUAUUUAUAAUCCAGGAUUAUUAAAAUGCUUGCCUAUAUGUUUUUUGCCUAAAUGUUUUAGGUUUUCUCUAUAUUAAAAAAUUAAUUUAGCAAAUGUUUUCUUGAAUCUAUUGAAGUGAUUUUAUGGUUCUUCUCCUUUAAUGGACUAAUGAAGAUAAUUACUUUAAAAGAUUUUUAAAUAUUAAACUAUACCAGCAUUCCUGGCAUACACCCAAAUGAGUCCUGAAUCUUUCAUAUAUUACUGGAAUCAAUUUGUUAAUAUUUUGUUUAAAAUUUUUACAACUAUGUCCAUAACUUGAAUUGUUGUAUAAUUUUCAUUUAUCAUCUGUCUUGGCUUGGUUUGAUACCAAGAUUAUCUCAGCUUCAUAAAAUAAGUUCAAGUGAAUCAUCUGUUUCCAAGUUCUCUGGAACAGUUUGUGUAAGUGUGGAAUAGUUCUUAUCUUAUUUCCUGAAACUUGACUCUAAAACCUUCCGAGUAAGUUGCCAUUUUUGUGAGUAGAUUCAGCCAUUUCUCUCUUAAGAAUCAUUGUAUCUCUGCUAUAAUUACAUAUUGAAUAUAAAAAGCAUUAAUUGCACCACUUACUAUACACCUCCCCACUGCUCUUAUUCUUCAUUCUAGUUCUUCUCUCAGCAAUUCACCUUCCUUAUGUGUUUUUCAGAAAUAGCCAUUUUCAGGAGAAUGGUGUGAACCUGGGAGGCGGAGCUUGCAGUGAGCCAAGAUCAGGCCACUGCACUCCAGCCCGGGCGACAGAGCAAGACUCCAUCUCAAAAACAAAACAAAAUAAAAACAAAACAAAAACAAACAAACAAAAACAAAACCAGAAAUAGCCAUUUUAUGUACUGUCUGAAGUGAUCUCAUCCAAACUUGUUUUUUUCUAUACAACUAAAGAAACUGAGAGAAUGGAGCAUAUCUGGGUUCAGGAAAUGACCCUUCAAUAUAUUCAGGGCACUGAUGGUUCCCAUCUUACAGAACACAUGCACUAUCCAAUUCCUGAGUGUCCAUUGAGAGAAUAUAAGGUCUUUUCUGCAAAAUCAUUUGCCAAUAUUCAAAGAGCACUUCUUAUACACAGGCUCAGAGCCAGGAUCUGGGAUGAGUAAAGAAGGUACAUGAUCCUCCUCCACCAUUAGCCUUCAAUGUUUCACAGUGUAUUAGUUCAUUCUCACAUUGCUAUAAAGAUAGUACCUGAGACUGGGUAAUUUAUAAAUAAAAGAGAUUUAAUUGACUCACAGUUCUGCAUGGCUGGGGAAGCCUCAGGAAACUUAUAAUCAUGGCAUAGCACAAAGGAGAAGCAAGGAGCUACUUCACAAGGCAGCAGGAGAAAGAGUGAGUGCACAGAGGAAACUGCCAUUUUUAAAACCAUCAGGUCUCACAAGAACUUCUUCACUAUCAUAAGAAUGGCAAGGGGGAAACCACUCCCAUCAUCCAAUCACCUACCACUAGGUUCCUCCAUUGACACAUGGAGAUUACAAUUUGAGAUGAGACUUGAGUGGACACGGAUCCAAACCAUAUCAUUCUGCCCUUGACCCCUCCAAAAUCUCAUUUUUUUUUUCACAUUUGAAAACCAAUCAUGCCUUCCCAACAGUCCCUCAAGAUCUUAACUCAAGCCAGGAUUAACUCAAAAGUCUAAGUCCAAAGUCUCAUCUGAGACAAGGAGAGUCCUUUCCACCUAUGGGCCUGUAAAAUCAAAAGCAAGUUAGUUACUUCCAAGAUACAAUGGGGGUACAGGCAUAGGGUAAAUGUUCCCUUUCCAAGUGGGAGAAAUUGGCCAAAACAAAGGAGCCAGAGGCCCCGUGCAAGUCUGAAACUCAGCCAGGCAGUCAUUAUGUCUUAAAGCUCCCAAAUCUCCUUGGAUUUCAUGUCUCACAUCCAGGGCACACUGAUGCGAGGGGUGGACUCCCAAGACCUUGGGAAGCUCUGCCUCUGUGGCUCUGGAGGGUACAGCCCCUGCAGCUGCCUUCAUGGUCUGGUAUUGAAUGCCUGUGGCUUUUCCAAGCACAUGGUGCAAGCUGUCGGUGGAUCUACCAUCCUGGGGUCUGCAGUAUGGCAGACUUCUCACAGCUCCACUAGGCAGUGCCCCCAUGCAACCUCAAUAUUGGGGCUCCAACCCCACAUUUCCCCUUUGUAAUGCCCUAGCAGAGGUUCUCCAUGAGGGCUCCACCCCUCCAGCAGACAUUUGCCUGAACAUCCGGGCAUUUUUAUACAUCCUCUGAAAUCUAGGCAGAGGUUUCCAAAGCUCAACUCUUGUCUUCUGUGCACCCACAGGCGCAACAUCACAUGGAAGCCACCAAGGCUUGGGGCUUACACCCUCUGAAGCAACGGCCUGAGCUGUAUCUUGGCCCCUUUUAGCCAUGGCUGCAGCUGGAGUGGCUGGGGUGCAGGGCACCAAGCUCCAAAGCUGCACAGAGAGGAAGGGCCCUGGGCCCAACCCACAAAGCCAUUUUUCCGUGCUAAGCCUCUGGGCCUGUGAUAAGAGGGGCUUCUGUUAAGAUCUCUGACAUGCUCUGGAGAGAUUUUCCCCAUUGACUUGGCUAUUAACAUUUGGCUCCUUAUUACUUAUGCAAAUUUCUGCAACCAGCUUGAAUUCCUCCCCAGAAAAUGAGUUUUUUCUUUAUAGUCAGGCUGCAUAUUUCCCAAACCUUUAUACUCUGCUUCGCUUUUAAACAUAAGUUCCAAUUUGAAACCAUCUUUUUUUGAAUGCAUAUAACUGAAAACAUUCAGAACAAUACAGCUCACUUCUUGAAUGCUUCGCUGCUUAGAGAUUUCUUUUGCCAGAUACCCUAAAUUAUCUAUCUCAAGUUCAAAUUUCCACAGAUCUGUAGGGCCGGGGCAAAAUGCUGCCAUUCUCUUUGGUAAAGCAUAACAAGAAUUACCUUUAUUCCAUUUCUCAACAACUUCCUCAUCUCCAUCUGACACCACCUCAGCCUUGACUUCAUUGUCCAUAUCACUAUUAACAGUUUGGUCAAAACCAUUCAACAAGUCUGAAGAAGUUCCAUACUUUCCUAUACCUUCCUGUCUUCUUCUCAGCCCUCCAAACCGUUCGAACGUCUGCCUGUCACUUGGUUCCAAAUUUGCUUCCACAUUUUCAGGUUAUCUUUAUAGCAGUAUCCUACUCCUGUUACCAAUUCUCUGUAUUAAUUCAUUUUCACACUGCUAUAAAGAUACUACCUGAGAAUAGGUAAUUUACAAAUACAAGAGGCUUAACUGACUCACAGUUCUGCAUGGCUGGGGAAGCCUCAGAAAACUUGCAAUCAUGGCAGAAGGCAAAGGAGAAGCAAGAACCUUCUUCACAAGGCAACAGGAGAGAAAGAGAGAGCACAGGGAAAACUGCUAUUUUUUAAACCAUCAGAUCUCAUGAGAGCUUUCAUAUUAUCAUAAGAACAGCAUGGAGGAAACCGCCCCCAUGAUCUAAUCACUUCCCAUAAUGACCCUCCCUGGACACGUAGGAAUUACAUUUCAAGAUGAGAUUUGGGUGGGGAUACAGAGCCAACCCAAACCAUAUCACACAUAUUUUUGGGAAGUGGACAGUUGAUACACCAAUAAUUAAAGCAAUAAGAUAAAUGCAGAGACAGGAACCAGGCAACCCAGAAGAGGCAAUAUCUCAAUGCCUAGGGAUGAGAGAAUGAAAUUGAGGAGUCAAUUUGUCCUCUAGAUAUUGGUUACCAACUUUUUGCCUAGGACUAUUACAUUUUUAGCACUAUACAUUCUUUAACCCAGAAGCUCCUUCAGUUCCUGGCAAACUAGGUCAAUUGGUCACUCUAUCUAGACCUUCAGUGCCUAGCACAAACUUGUCCAACUUGUAGCCCGUGUGCUGCAUGUGGCCCAGGAUGGCUUCGGGUGUGGCCCAACACAAAUUCAUAAACUUUCUUGAAAGUUUAUGUGGUCUUUUUUUGUAAUUUUUUUUAACUCACUAGCUAUCUUUAGUGUUAAUAUAUGUUACGUGUGGCCCAAGACAGUUCUUCUUCUUCCAAUGUGGCCCAUGGAAACCAAAAGAUUGAACGCCCCGGCCUACCACUAUAUAUGGCACAAAGAUGGAAUCCAAAGGGUAUACUUAAUUAGUUGACAUAUGAUCUGAGUAAUCAUGAACAGUAAGUUUUAACCAAGCAUAUGGAAAAGGGAUUGCAAGGCUGUCUGGAGGAACAAUGCAGGCAGAAUUACUAAAGAACAUGGACAUGGUUUGAAAUUGUAAGUCAUCCUAUGUGAUGGAAGGAGCAGUGAGUACAGGAAAAGAGUUGGUGAUAAGACUGCAGAAAUAGACAUGGUUCAGAUGGUAAAAGUCAGGUUGAGGAGUAAGGGCUUUAUUUUAUCCUAUAGUCAAUAAGAGGAUUAAUAGAGAGGCAUUAACAGAGUCAGCUAGCUCUGAGAUAAUAUGAGCAUAGUAGGGAAGAAUCCAAAUUUCUUUACGUGUUUGUAUAUAGAGGCAUCUUUGUAUAUAUUUGCAUUUUGUAUAUUCAGGCAUUGGAAGAAUUGUCUGCCUGUUUCUGUUUCUGUUUUUGUUUUUAAUCAGGACCCCAUGUGUGACAGAAGAAAAAGUCUCAAGUUGGAGUUAAAAUUCUCCUGCAUCCUGAUCAGAUUCUGCUGCAUUCUCCAUGUGACCUCAGGUUUUGGUCUCAGGUCUGCUGUUAACUGCCGGUAUAACCCCAGGUAAGCCUCUUGAAUAUUCUGAGCCUGAAUCCCAGUUUUUAAUCUGUGAACUGAAGAAAGGUAAUUUUGUUUCACCCAUCUGUUGUUCUAUAAAUAAAUGAAUUAUGGUAAAUGUGCUUUGUAAACAAAAAUGUUAGCAGGGAUAUGAGACUUUAAAAAAGGACGAGAAAAGUUACAAAUUUUAAGUCAGAAGUUUGAUCUUCCACCUACAGGUUGGGAAAUGAUGGAUGAAGCAUCACUAGUAUCUUGGAGUAGUUCAGUUUCGCUCUGGAGACAGAGUGCCAAGGUCAAAUCACAGUACCACAUUUUACCAGCUAUGUGUGUGGCCUGAGGCAGGUUACUGAAUACAUUAUGUUUCAGUUUCCUCACCAGAUAAAUGUGGGUGAUAUUAAUUGGUUAUGAUAUUAACAUAAGAGGGUGAAUAUAUAUCAAUAGAGUCUAUAUUACAUAGUUGAUAUGAGUGUUAGCUGAGUUAAAAAUCUGCAAAGCCCUGUGAUCAGAGCCUGGCACGCUGACAUUUCUGAAUCCAUGGUAGUCAUUAUAUUUGCUUUGGUUACCUUUUCUGAAAUGAAAAAGAUUAGAAUACCUCUGCCUAGAGCAAAAUAUAAUAAAUUUUAAAAUACUUUGUCAACUUCAAAAGACAGUUCAAAUUUCAGUAGUAUGUAUGAAUAAAUACUGAUGAAAUACAUUUUGCUCAGCAGGGUGGAAUUCCUGGAUUUUGGGUCACACACACAUGCACACUUACACACAGAUGGCCAAACCCACUCACACACAUGGUUACAUACUCAGAGACACACAGACACAUGCACACACACACUCUCACACACAUGUACAAAUGCACUAGAGUUCUGAUCUGUCUCAGUACAAAAUCCACUUCCAUUUUUGAACGUGAAACCUGGAGGAAGAAGAACUAGGGUCUUCCAGAACAACCACAAUUUAAUUUGUUUUCAGGGAGUCCCCUAUCCCCCAGAGAUCAUUAAGCUACAAUUCAGAGUUAUUAAUCUCGAACAAGACAAGUCUUUUUCCUUUUUAGGUACUCAGUUAUUUCAAUUGUAAAAUGAAAAACUUGGUACAUAAGAGUCACUCUAUGAAUAUUUGUGGAAUGAAAUAAUUAAAUGAUCAAAAAGUAAAAUUAUGCAAAAUUAUUAUUGCUAUGAUGUGUUUAUUAUGACAAAAUCUUUCAAGGGUGCAUUUUUUAGAAAAAUUCUGUUAUGCAAUGAUUCCCGAAGUCAACCCAGCCACAAUUACCUUUUUUUCUGUAGAUUACUAAAAUAUUCAUAAAACUCAAUAGUCAGGAGCGAAUGUGUGUGAAAAAGUUUGUCCAUGAGACUCCAAGUCCUCUCUCUUGGGAAUCUCAGGCCUCUCAUUCAUACACUCAUUCAACAACUCUUUGCAGAAUACCUCCUUCGUAUCAAACACUGGCUGGUGGACAAUGACAGAAAAAUGAUAUCAACAGGUUCCUGAUUUUAAGGAGCACUCAGUCUAAAGGGAGAGUGGGAAGAUAUACAGUGGGUAUGGCAAAGACUUUCUGCAGUCGCUAACAUUUCAACUGAUGGGAAAAGUAAGCAGGAAUCCAUCAAGGUUUUAGGGUGUUCUGCCAGUGGGGGGCAGAUUGGCAGAGGCUUUGUUAAGAAAUGCUCUAUGUGUGCACCCAAACUGCAGGAGAAUUCCUGCCAUGGACCAUGGGCAGAAACUCAAGGACAUUGAGCCACAAAAUGCAAUAAAACUUAAAGCACUGUCUCUGACAAGAAAAAUAUGUGCUCACACCUAAUUGACCAAAGUAUGUCAUAUGGCCAAGGUCAAUGUCACAGGGUAAGUCACAUGUCAGGCGACCCAAUUGUUUAAUCUUAUUGCAGAAAAGGAGUAAAAAAUUGAGAAUAAAAAUAUAAUCUUCCAUAUUAAUUUUAUUAACAAGCUGAUAAUUUAGUAGGACCAAUGAGCUUUUAAUAGUAAUAGGAGGUGAGAUUAAAGCCUAAAGUAGAGACAACCCCUUGUGCAUAAACACAGUUCACACAGGUAAAAACCUGGGAGUUCUUUAACACUUUAUUUUCUCUUUUCCCCAAAAGUUAGCCAUUUUCUAAUUCAUGUGAAUUCCAUUUAUAACACUUAUAGUACUUAGCAAAGUAUCUGACACAGAGUUGGUAUUCAUUGUAUGUUUGGUAAAUGAAUGCAUGUAUGCUUGAAUAAAUACAUGGCCAUGCUGCCAGCCUUUUCUUGCAAAGUUUGUUUUAGAUUGGAUUCAAGCUUCUACAGCACCUGUGCUUAUCAACUGCGUCACACUAUUACAGUUCACAAUAAUUGUUUGUUCAUCCGCUUCUCAUUACACCAUACUCAUGGGCGAGGUCAGAGAAUGUGUCACCUCUCCCUAACCGAGGGCCUGGCACAGUGUUUGGCAUAUAAUAAGAGCUCAGCAAUGUUAUUUGAUUCCUAAUUAUCACUAGCAGCAUGAAUUUUUGACUACUUAACAUACAACUUAAGUCAAGAGGUGCUGAAUAACCACAGGUCACACAUUGAAUAAGUGUUAACACUAAAAUUUAUGACACAGUUUUUCUCCAAACUAGUCUUUAUACAGUACAUCAUAUUUAUUUCAGAGAUCAGCUAGAAGCUGAGAGAAAGCAUAUUUAAUAAACACAACAAAGACUAUAUAAAGAACUUAUACAAGUUUAAAAGAAAAACACAAACCCCAGGGAAAUAUGGACAGUUUGAAUAAGUUUGUCAUAAAAUAUAAAAAUAUGUAUGGUUUGUAGAAUAUGAGGGUAUAUCCAGCUCCAUUAGUGUUGAGAAAGAUGCAGUUUAAGACCAUGAUGUGCUACUAUAUUUUACAGUCAGUUGGUUAGUGAAAUUUCAAAAGUCUGACAAUAUCAGAUGCUAGAAAGAUACAAAUUUAUAGCAUAUCUUAUCUAUUACUGGUUGAUAUGUAAACUUGGCUGAAUCUCUUAAGAAAAUAGCUGAGUAUUGUAAACUUGUAUAUUCAAAUACUGAGAAAAGUACAUAUUUUACUUCUACAUGUAGAACCAAGGGAACCUUUUAAACAGGUUCACCAGAUAUGUGUCCACUAUCAUGCACAAAAUCUUUGAAACUAACAAAAACCUAUAAACAACCUAAUGCCAAUAGAGAGGAUAUGAGAUGAAUAAACUGUUGUAUAUUUACUAUUAUGGCCCUAAAAAUAAAUGUGGUAUAAUAAUAAUGAACAGUAUAGAUGAAUUACAAAAAUAUAUUCAAAUUUUAAAAAUACUUUGAAAAAUAUUAUGUAUGCUGUAAAUCCUUUUUAAAAAUAAAGUUGAACACAACUAUUAACAAACAAGUGCUUGCUUGAAAUGCCACACACAAAUAGGAAAACAAGGAAAUGAUGCACAGAGAAUUUUGGAUGGUGGUUACUUGAGAUGGGGUUACAUAAGAAAAAUAAAUGCAAGAGGACCCUAUACAGUUAUUGUUAAUGUUCUUCCUUAACUGUGGAUUCAUGGAUGUUUAUGACAUUAUUUCAAAUUAAUUGUAAUCACUUUUUGAAAAUUUGAAAAAGUGUAAUCCAUGGACCAAUGAUACAUUGCAUGGCCAAGGAUUAUAAAUAAUACAAUUGCACUUUAGAUCCAUUAACAAAAGAAGAAGACCUGAUUGAAUCCGAGUACCUAGGCUUAGAGUUAAAACAAAAUAUUGAUCUCGAGGAGAAAUUCUCUACCCCUUGAAAAUUUUCUUCAAGUAGGUCAAGUCCAGGUGUAAGAAGGAGACAGUCAAAUGGAGCACAAGAUAGGCCCAAGGAUUUGGGAUGCUCAAGUUGUGGGUCAGAGGCUGAUGAUACAAACAGGAAUCGGGAAGACACAAAGUAAUAUGGAGCAGGGCUGGACAGCAGUAUAGCUCUAGAAGACUGACAGUCACCAGCACACCCAUGGGAAAGGAGAGGUCAGAGAGGGCCAAUGGACCUGCUGGGUAAACAAUCAGGAUUUGAAGAUUCAAAACAAAUAAAGAAGAUGAUUGUAAAUACUGAACUAGAGUUCACAGAGAAGCUGUGCAGUGCACUGGAAUAAAUACUACAUUCUGGCUUCAACUCUGUUCCUGACUACUCUUAGGCUGUUAUGCAAAUCAUUUUCUCUGUAUAAGCCCCAGUUUCUUCCUAGGAUAACUUCCUCCAUUACAGAGGCUUUUGUGAAGCUCAAGUGAAAAAAUGUAUGUGGACAUGCUUUGGAAAUUACAAAAUGCCUAAUAAAGGUGAGAAGUUGGUAUUAUUUUGCUCACCGAAGACAUUGGAAAUAAAGUGAUCGUGAAAAAAUGUCAAGAUGCCCCUGAUAUUUUUAAGUACUCAUUCACCUGUCUGCCUCCACUAAUGGGUUAUAUGCUCUUAGAUUAUCGAGAUGUCAAUGUGUUCUCUGUAUACUCCUUGUAACUAUCUCAUUAGCUGAUUCCUUGUGGUCUACUAAGUAUUAAAGCAAUCAAUAAAAUAAUUGCAAACAACCUUAGUGCUGGCCUCUAUGUAAUCCAAUUUCCCAAUGACAGUGGUUUUAUAGCUAGAUCCCUUCCCCCCACCCUCCUUAUAGUUGGGACUCCAGCCUUUCUGAGAGAAAAAUCUAAUGAUACAAUUCAGUUUAAAAAUUCUCUUAAGCUCACUAAAGUCUAGAAGAACGAAAGCAUGAUAUUCAACACUGUUCAACAUAUUCUGUCUUCUCCCUACCUUUCCCAUCUUGUCUUCCACAAAGGCACACAGAGCCACCAAAUUCUAGAAAUGCUCCAUGCUCUUUUUAAGUCUUAAAAGCUUCACUGCUAUUCCUUGCACCUGGGAUUUUCUUGCCAUUUCUGACUCUACCUCUACCAAGUAAACUACAGUUUACUCAAACAGUCAAAGUUCACUCUACCUCUACCAAGUAAACUGCAGUUUACUCAAACAGUCAAAGUUCACACAUCUAUUUUCCUCACUAGCCCAAGACACAGUUUCACAAUCUUGUCUCUGCUGGAAACCACCACAUCUCAUGGAAUGAUGGGUGUGUGAGUGUUCUCGUGGCUAAAAUUACUUGUGUUUAUUUCUUAUGACCAGCACCUACUGGCAGUGCUUAGAAAGAGAAAACAUGCUCAAUAUAUGUUUAAUGCAAAGAUAGAAGAAAGAAUAUUACUUUUUCCAGUUGUAGUACAGGAGAUAUUCCUGGGAGGACAUCUGGGAAAGCAUUUCCUAUGGGUCUUUACACAAUGAUCCCCAUGGAGUAGAAGGAAAAAAACAUAUAAUAAUAUUUCAAGCUUCUCAAUUUUGCCCAGCCUUCAAGAGCUUAUUUCCUAUGGAACAUUGACUGUAUGGAGUUAAAUUAGAUUUUAUCAAAUAGUAAUUUGUCACAUAUGUAAUACAUGAAGGUGUGUGAUUGAUGUGGAAUCUUGAAAAAUCAUUCUAAUAUGUCAGAAGGACAAAUGGAUUAAUGAGAGGUAUAAUUUAUGGUCGUAGAUGCGGCUCUGUAUUAAGUUGGCAAAAUCAAAGCCUCACUUAAAGGUAAUCUACCUCACUCCAUUCUUAACUAAAGUGUCAUUGCCAGUAAGACCAGCAUAGUGGAAACAGCUCAAUUGUGUUGAAUUCAAGCUACUUAAUCGGCUUCCUUUGACUGAUUCUUCAGAGCAUUUGUUACUAUACUUGAUAAAUAUGUGACCCUGGAUGUUUUAUCACUUUAAUUUUUAUAUCACUAGAAAUAAAGUGUAUUUUAAUUUUUAAUAUUUAGGGCCAGGCUCACGUGUGUAAUCCCAGCACUUUGGGAGGCCAAGGCAGGUGGAUCACCUAAGGUCAGAAAUUUGAGACCAGCCUGGCUAACAUGGUGAAAUCCUGUCUCUACCAAAAAGUACAAAAAUUAGCUAGGUGUGGUGGUGCAUUCUUAUAGUCCCAGCCACUAGGGAACUUGAUGUGGGAGAAUUGCUUGAACCCAGGAGGAGGAGGCUGCAGUGAGCCUAGAUCGCACUACUGUACUUCAGCCUGGGCGACAGUGUGAGACACUGUCUCAAAUAAUAGUAAUAAAUAAUAAUAAUAAUGUUUAGUUUUAAUAUAACUAGAAAUGAAACUUCCCUUAGAACAUAAAUGUAUCUUUUCGCUGCCUUUUUUUUCCAUUUUAAGUCUAUAAGUUACUGCCAUGAACUAAAUUGUGUCUCUCCUAAAUUCAUAUGUUGAACCUCUAGCUCUCUGUGUGACUUUUUUGAAGAUAAAGUUUUUUUCUUUUUCUUUUUUGAUUUUUGUAGGUACAGUCUUUAAGAAGGUGAGGUAAAAUGAGGUCAUAAAAGUAGGUCCCUAACUGAGUAGAACUGGUGUUCUUAGAAGAAGAGGAAGAGAUACUAGAGCUCUCUCUCUCCCUAGUGUGCACACAGCAAAGGUCAGACAGAGUGGCCUCAUCAGACACCAACUCUGAAGGCACCUUGUUCUUGAACUUCUGACUUCCAGAACCGUGAGAAAAUAAAUUUCUGUUGUUUAACCCACUCAGUCUAUGGUAUUCUCUUAUGACAGAGUAAGUACACCAAUAUAGUUACAUAGAGUGGAAUACACAGAAUUUAAAUUUACAUUGCAAUAUGUUUUAACAUAUGCAUAUACUCAUAUAACCUCUCCCCAGUCAGAAGAGAACAUUUGCAACAUCUCGGAAAGCCUGGACUCUCUGCCACAUCCCAAGGCAGUCUGGCUUCAAACUCCCACCCAGGGGCAACUGCUACUCUGAUUUCUAUCUCCAUAAAUUAAGCUUUGCCUAUAAUAGAAUUUCAAAUAAAUGAAAUCUUACAAUACGUACUGUUUUGGUCAGAAUGUAUUAGCUCAACAUCACGUUUUUAAGAUUCACCCAUGUCAUUUCAUUCAUACAAAUAUUGAUAUUCCUGAAUGGUAUUUCAUUUUAUAAAUAUAUCAUCCUUUAUUUAUUCAUUGUCUUGUUAAUAGAUAUUUGAAUUAUUUUUAGUUUUAUUUUUAUAUUAUGAAUAAAGCUGCUCUGAACAUUCU
rnacentral:lncRNA from 1 species